ensembl:miRNA Mir3082 microRNA 3082
GGACAGAGUGUGUGUGUCUGUGUGGAGAUAGGAGUUGCCCACACAUGGCACUCAACUCUGCAGG